UACGUAGGGUGCAAGCGUUAAUCGGAAUUACUGGGCGUAAAGCGUGCGCAGGCGGUGACGUAAGACAGGUGUGAAAUCCCCGGGCUUAACCUGGGAACUGCAUUUGUGACUGCAUCGCUGGAGUGCGGCAGAGGGGGAUGGAAUUCCGCGUGUAGCAGUGAAAUGCGUAGAUAUGCGGAGGAACACCGAUGGCGAAGGCAAUCCCCUGGGCCUGCACUGACGCUCAUGCACGAAAGCGUGGGGAGCAAACAGG
rnacentral:rRNA from 1 species